rnacentral:lncRNA from 10 species
GUUCGCUCCGCGGCGUGCACUGGAGCAAGCAGGUCCCGCUCCGAGCGCGCGCGCUCUGGGAAGUGCUGCAAGUUUGGAGACCUGGAGUGAGCUCCGGGCGCUGCUGGCCCGACUGUCCGCGGUGUUUCCCCGGUGAGGUCGCGGGGGCAUCCUGUAGGAAGACUUUUUGGCGAGGUUCGCAGGGCCUCACACAGGCAGCUUCAGUUCUCCUACGAAGAGUCGAACUGGGAAAACCUCAAAGUUUUAGGUCCUGUCUAGAGGCCUGCCCGGCUAACCAACACAUACACGGCCUUGUACCCCACAUUUCUCAGCCCAACAACUGCCUACCCGAAUUCCGAGGGUUAUAAGAUGUUCGUAUUAAAUAUUAAAACAGGACUUUUCAGGACAAUAUAUUCCAGGUUAUCUCUUUGGCACAUUUCCAACAACUCCAAUAAAGAGAUUGAAACUCCUCUCCCAUCAUCAGCUUAUAAAAGGUUGCCAGUAGGUCACAAGUGCUUAUCUGACAGGAUUCAUCUAAUGCAAUUCAGUGUGCUUAUUCCUUUCGAAGUCCUCCAUGUGCAAAGAAUUGUGCAGUGACGUUAAGUGUCUUUAUUUUAAGAGCAUAUAAAUUAAUUUGGAGAAUCCAAACAGGUACCGAUUAAAAAUAUAACCUUGGGUUUGAAAUCUUAAAAAACCAUCUUGUAAGAGAAUAGUUUUGCCUGCCCUGCUCUUCCCUUAAUUGGAAAGCAAAACUCGUCCUAGGCUCACAAGUAGAAGGUAAAAGGUGUGGUCUGUCCCAGAGGAGAUGCAGAUGCUGGGCUCUCUCCCUGAAAAGUUGCUUCACUUCCUGCCUGAUCAAAACAAGUCUAGAAGUUUCGUGGAAAAACAAGUCCAGUAGAUGCCUCUCCAGAAGUGUUAUGCUUCUGGACUCCUUUGGAGUAACUAAGUCCACGCCUCUGGAUAAAAAGCACUAACUUCUACUCCGCAGGGCGCGGUGGCUCAUGCCUGUAAUCCCAGCACUUUGGGAGGUCGAGGCGGACAGAUCG